AAAAUAAAAGAGAGGGGAAUAUUAACAACACAUACGAGUACGACUACGAGGCUACGACUUUUGAUCUAUUCUCUCUGUCUCUCAAAUCAGAAAAAGAAAAGUAUCUGCCUUUUUUUACAAAAUCUCUGCUUCUUUUUUCAAUCGCUUAAAAGGGAAAUUUUUAUUCUCUUUCAGUUUAUAGCAUUUACCACCAUUGCUUUGACUCUUUUGUCAGUUUCCUCUAUAAAUCUGUGUGCAUAUUUAUGCUUCUUCGAUUCUCUUAAAAGAGCCGACCUUUAAUUUUUACACUUCUCAAAGUUGGUAGCUUUAUUAUUCCAUUCUGGGCAAUGGGCUAAACUUGGAGAAAGAUAGGUUUAAGAAGUUUGUUUCUCCAUUUUGAUGAUCAAUUGUUUCAGAGACCUAAUUCAUGCUUUCAUGACUGUUUUGCUUUCCACUAGUGACGAUGAUGAUAAUCAUGCAGAUGGUCAUGGGAAUGAUUCUACAGAAGAAGAUGAUGAUGUAGUGGAUGCAAAGGAAGACGAAAUUCAAACUGGUGGUGAUACUCUGACUCUGACUCUGACAAGUAGUCUCAGAAAGGUGGAUUCGAGUUCAAAGAAGAAGAAGAAGAAGGUACAAUGGGUGGAUGUGAUGGGGAUAAAGGACCUUGCUGAGAUUCGUGAAUUCGAACCCUGUGAAGAUGAUGAUAUUGACCAGCGGAAGAACUGUGUGUGUGUUAUCCUAUGAUCUGUUCAUUUUAGUUUUACCGGAAGAUCCAAGACCAGCAUUUGAAUCUCAUAUACAUAGAGAGUUGUUGGCAUAACAAAGAAAGAGAUUACCAGAGCUGAGAAAAAUGCUGGUUUCAUUAAGCAGUAGAUUGAGGGAGAUUCAGUUGAGUACCUCUUGAAACCUUCUUUAAAAGUAUUGUUUUGUGUUGCUACACCAAAAAGUAAUGUAUUUUGGCUCUUCUGAACUGUGUAAGUAGAUGUAAUACUAUUUGAGAAAGAAAGAACAGAAAGCUCAACGGGAGAAGGAUUGCAAUUUCUUAAUAUUAACUUGUAUCUCUAAUUGAUGGAGUAGGAAUGAUAAAAAUAUGAGAAAGCAUUACAGAGGUUUGAGUCCGUGUUAGGUUCUAAACCAACACCAGAUGAAGCAUCAGUUGCAAGUUACAAUGUUGAUUGUUGGUUGCUACUCAAAGCUUAAUCAGAGUAAUUCUGGAGGGCCUAUGAUGAAUAUGAAUGGCGAAGUAAUUGCAACUGUGAGGUUGUAAGUAGAAACACAUACUUGAACACAACCAUUGAAAGGAUUGAAUUUUUCAUUCAUUUCGACAUUGUAUGCAAGUGCUUAACAUUUGAAAAGUAUUUUAAUAUUAUUUAUUAUGUUUAAGAGCAAGAUGUUUAUUGACAAUUUCU